rnacentral:lncRNA from 14 species
AAACUGUGGAGCUUCAAGCAGAGAAUGGGAAUGGAAGAUAGUACAACACCUGCUGAAAAGCUUCAGUUUUGUUUUCUGGGGUAAAGAGCCUGAAUUUUAUGCCUAAAAUGCAAAGCUGAAGCCACUGCCACAAGGAAUGACUGCCUUCUGUGCUGUUGACAGAUCUGCCCCUCUGUUAUCAGACACUGCUCUUUUGCCAUCUCAGUUUCAUAACAAUUGUCUCUGCCUGGGAGCCACUGGAGCAGCCAUGUUGGGCCACGCAGUUCUCCGAGGAGAAUGAUAGAUGAUGGAGUGAUUCCCUUCAACAUGUCUGGGACACUGAGUCUCCUGCUGAGCUCUGGGCAUGCUUGAGGACAUCCAGUGCUCCUUCCCAAUGCAAUUGCAGCUGCUCCAGUGCAGGUAACAAAACCAUCCAGAGAAGAGAAUUCCAAAGAACUCUCCAAGAAGUUUCCUUAAUGGUGCUGACAUGUUUUACUCAAUGGAGAAGAUCUCUUCCUGAGAGCUGCUGGCCCUUUAUCCAAGGUGAGAUCACUUUGAUUCAGCUCCAUUUAAGCACAACUGUACUAGAAAAAUCUAUGGUUUGGCAGCAGUAGGGUAUCUAGUUUAUUUUGCCUGUA